AAGAGAUUUCCGCGUCCAAACUGAUACGCGGUAUAAAGUUUCGUCGGGCCCCCCCCCCCGAGUACGGGGUAAGAUUUCGCUACUGAUGUCCACUAUUGACAUUGAAACGUCGUGAAUAAUUGAAUCGGUAUAGGUUUCGUAACAAGACGUAAUAUAUUUUGUUCGAAAUGCCACGUUGAAAGUUCGAAAGUUAUUUAUUGCAACGUUUGGUCU